AUUGAACGCUGGCGGCAUGCCUUACACAUGCAAGUCGAACGGUAACAGGUCUUCGGAUGCUGACGAGUGGCGAACGGGUGAGUAAUACAUCGGAACGUGCCUAGUAGUGGGGGAUAACUACUUGAAAGAGUGGCUAAUACCGCAUGAGAUCUACGGAUGAAAGCAGGGGAUCGCAAGACCUUGUGCUACUAGAGCGGCCGAUGGCAGAUGUAGGUAGUUGGUGGGAUAAAAGCUUACCAAGCCGACGAUCUGUAGCUGGUCUGAGAGGACGAUCAGCCACACUGGGACUGAGACACGGCCCAGACUCCGACGGGAGGCAGCAGUGGGGAAUUUUGGACAAUGGGCGCAAGCCUGAUCCAGCCAUUCCGCGUGCAGGAUGAAGGCCUUCGGGUUGUAAACUGCUUUUGUACGGAACGAAACGGUUCUCUCUAAUACAGGGGGCUAAUGACGGUACCGUAAGAAUAAGCACCGGCUAACUACGUGCCAGCAGCCGCCGUAA
rnacentral:rRNA from 1 species